rnacentral:rRNA from 1 species
UACGUAGGUGGCGAGCGUUGUCCGGAUUUAUUGGGCGUAAAGGGCGCGCAGGUGGUGCGGUAAGGCUGCCGUGAAAUCUCCCGGCUCAACUGGGAGGGUGCGCCGGAUACUGAGGGGCUAGAGUGUGGGAGAGGAAAGUGGAAUUCCUGGUGUAGCGGUGAAAUGCGUAGAUAUCAGGAGGAACACCGGUGGUGUAAACGGCUUUCUGGACCAUAACUGACGCUGAGGCACGAAAGCGUGGGUAGCAAACAGG